rnacentral:lncRNA from 1 species
GGAUAAUUAAGCUACAGUGAUCCCACGCUAAUGGUGCCACGUCACCACGGUUACUGCUGCUAAUCUAUCGUUAGAUCAAAAUCGGACCUAAAUUCAAAUUCAAAGUUUAGUAAAUAAUAAAAGUUUUCAAACAUUAAAAUAAAAAUGUUCGGUCUGUAUUAAAUAUUACAUAGAUAAAUAUGGUGUAGUAAACACAUUUUUAUAAAAUGCCUAAAUGAUUCAAAAUGAUUUAGAACAGAAAAGUAAAUAAAUAAAAGAAAAUACAAAAGAGAAAAACUAAACUAACAAAAAAAGGAAAAGAACCCCCCCCCCCGGGCCAGCCGACCCAACUGGCCGGCCCAUUCGGCCACCGGCCCAACUGGGCAAAGGCCCAGCCGGCCACUCCCUCUCCUUAUCCCCUCACCCCGCAAACCCUAACCCACUCCCCGCACCCAUACCCCACUCUCCCCAUGACGCCCCCUCCUCUCUCCCGAUCUGGAUCGGGAUCCAGAGGAGGCCAACGCCGCCCGACGCCGCCCCGUCCACCCCUCCUCCCCGGCCGGCCUCUGCUUCCUCCCGGCGCCGCCCCGCCAUCGCCGCCUCUACCCCGACAACGUCGCCCGAAGCGUCCCGGACGCCGCCGGACUUCCCCUUCUACGCACGACGUCCCCGUCACCCCCCUCGACCCUGUCGCCCUCGACGGCCAUCACCACCAUCCCGACGCCGUCGCCGGAGCCACCGCGCCGUCCCCAUCGCCGGAGCAUGCCACCGUUGAGCCCUCCCCGAGCUCACUCUCGCACACCUGCAGGGCCCAGUGAGCCACCACCCCUCCCUUCCUCCUCUCCCCUCGAUCUCUGUCGCCGGCUCCGUCCACCCGCGUGCUCAUGGCCGCGGCCUCGUCCAGCGCACGCGCGCGCCGGCUCGCCAUGCCUCCCCUCGUCCCGCAGCUGCGUGCUGCAGGAGGCGCCGCUUCGCCCCGCCCCUGGCCACCGGCCCCUCGCGCCCUUAGCCUCCUCCCCUGCUACUGCAGCCUCGAACCGCCGGGCCGCGCCUGCUUCCGCGCGCCCGCGCCGGCCCCAUCCGCCUCUGCUCCACAGCUCACCGGAGCCCGCCUCCCCUGGUGGCCUCGGGCCCGCGCCCGCGCGCAGCCGUCCCUUGCGCUCGCCGCCGUCGCGAACUGCGGCCCCGGUCAGUCGGCACCCGGGUCCGGUGCCCCUGGGCUCCGUCCGCCGCACCCAGGUCAACCUCGACGGGUGCCCACGCCCGUGCCCGUUUCCCGUUACCCGCGCGCCCAUUUGGCCCCUAGGGCCAAUGACAUGGGGGCCCUGCCCCAGAACGUUUUAAUUAAAAAAAGGGAAAAUAAAAUAAAAAUAAAUUAUUAAUUAAUUAAUUAAUUAAUUAGUGGAUUAAUUAAGAUAAUUAAUCAUGUUUAAUUAAUCUAAUUAACUAGUUAGUUUACUUAAGCAGUAAUUAGUUUAACCUAAACCCUAAUCAACCUAACAGUGUAUGACAGGUGGGUCCCACUGGGCCCACGCGUCAGUUUGACUAGUCAACACCUCUGUUGACUGCUGAUGUCAUGAUGACAUCAGCAAACACUGUUAUGGAUAAUGUUGAAUUAAAAUUCAAUUAAUUAAAAUUCUAAAAAUGAUUUAAAUCUUUUUAAAUUAAUAUAAAAUAAACCGUAGCUCGGAUGGAAAAACUUUAAACAUGAAAGUUGCUCAGAACAACGAUACGAAUCCAGAUACGCAGCCCGUUCAUCCACCAUGCUUCCCUAGCAUAGUGAACCUGCAACAUUUCACCUCCGGUUCAUCUGACCGAAAACACGAAACACCGGGGAUACUUUCCCGGUUGUUUCCCCCUUUCGCUGGUAUCACCUACUAUCGCGUUAGGGCACACCGAACACCGCGUAUUGCCUUGUUACACUUUGUGAUGCUUUGAUUGCUCUAUUAUUUAUUGCGUUCCCUCUCCGUUACUUCUUUCCGGUAGACCCCGAGACUGCCGGCGACCCCCAGUUUGACUACGGUGUUGGUGACUCGUCCUUCUUGCCAGAGCAACCAGGCAAGCCCCCCCCCUUGAUCACCAGAUAUCGCCUAUUCUUCUCUAUACUGCUUGCAUUAGAGUAGUGUAGCAUGUUACUGUUCGGGUACUCCUAUUCUGUUGCAUAGCUUGUCAUUGUUGCUACAGUCAUUGAUACCUUACCCGCAAUCCUAAAUGCUUAGUAUAGGAUACUAGUUUAUCACCAUUGGCCCUACAUUCUUGUCAGUCUGCCUUGCUAUACUAUUGGGCCGUGAUCACUCGGGAGGUGAUCACGGGUAUAUAUUAUACAUACAUACUUACUACAGAUGGUGACUAAAGUCGGGUCCGCUCGAAGAGUACCCGCGAGUGAUUCACCGAUUGGGGGCUGAAAGGACCUUUGUCCCGACGGCCCUCUGUGUGGAUCUUUGUGGCGGAGCGACAGGGCAGGUUGAGACCACCUAGGUGAGAGGUGGGCCUGGCCCUGGUCGGCGUCCGCGGUUGCUUCAUAAUAACACGCUUAACGAGAUCUUGGUAUUUGAUCUGAGUCUGGCCAUUUGGUCUAUACGUACUAACCAUCUACGCGGGAGUAGUUAUGGGUAUCCCGGCGUCGUGGUAUCAGCCGAAGCCUUCUAGACGUCAGCGACUGAGCGGCACGCGCCGGAUUGGAACGUAAGCCUGCUCUUGUAUUAAGGGGGCUAGUUCUGCUUUCGGCCGCCCUCGCAACGUGCAGGUGUGCAAUGGGCGAUGGGCCCAGACCCCUGCGCCAUAGGAGUUAGACCGGCAUGCUGACCUCUCUGUUAGGCCUAGGUGGGGCUGCGACGUGUUGAUCUUCCGAGGCCGGGCAUGACCCAGGAAAGUGUGUCCGGCCAAAUGGGAUCGAGCGUGUUGGGUUAUGUGGUGCACCCCUGCAGGGAAGUUUAUCUAUUCGAAUAGUCGUGUCCCUCGGUAAAAGGACGACCCGGAGUUGUACCUUGACCUUAUGACAACUAGAACCGGAUACUUAAUAAAACACACCCUUCCAAGUGCCAGAUACAACCCGGUGAUCGCUCUCUAACAGGGCGACGAGGAGAGGAUUGCCGGGUAGGAUUAUGCUAUGCGAUGCUACUGGAGAUGCUACUUGGAGAUGCUACUUGGAGAUGCUACUUGGAGGACUUCAAUCUACUCUCUUCUACAUGCUGCAAGACGGAGGCUGCCAGAAGCGUAGUCUUCGAUAGGACUAGCUAUCCCCCUCUUAUUCUGGCAUUCUGUAGUUCAGUCCACUGAUAUGGCCUCCUUACACAUAUACCCAUGCAUAUGUAGUGUAGUUCCUUGCUUGCGAGUACUUUGGAUGAGUACUCAUUGUUGCUUUCUCCCCCCUUUUUCCCCCUUUCCUUUCUUUCUGGUUGUCGCAACCAGAUGCUGGAGUCCAGGAGCCAGACGCCACCGUCGACGAUGACCCCUACUACACUGGAGGUGCCUACUACUACGUGCAGCCCGCUGAUGAUGACCAGGAGUAGUUUAGGAGGAUCCCAGGCAGGAGGCCUACGCCUCUUUCGAUCUGUAUCCCAGUUUGUGCUAGCCUUCUUAAGGCAAACUUGUUUAACUUAUGUCUGUACUCAGAUAUUGUUGCUUACGCUGACUCGUCUAUGAUCGAGCACUUGUAUUCGAGCCCUCGAGGCCCCUGGCUUGUAUUAUGAUGCUUGUAUGACUUAUUUAUGUUUUAGAGUUGUGUUGUGAUAUCUUCCCGUGAGUCCCUGAUCUUGAUCGUACACAUUUGCGUGCAUGAUUAGUGUACGAUUGAAUCGGCGGCGUCACAAGUUGGUAUCAGAGCCGACUGCCUGUAGGAAUCCCCCUUCCACACUCUUUGGCCGAAGUCGAGUCUAGAUAUUGCAAAACUUUUACUAACAUGGCUGUGCGGCCCAUGGGCCCACGUCGCCAUUUGGGUGGUAUUAGGAUCUUUUACUCCUCGAUCUUUACUCCGGGAUUCUGAACUCUCUUCUAUUCGGGUUAAACAAUUUUUACAAAAAUCUAACUUUAGGUUCUCGAAAAUACUUUUCUCCGGAGAGCCCCUUCAGUCCAGAUGAUCGCCGGCUGCACCAGAAGAUUUCGGAGAUACUCUCUGAUUUUCUCUCAAGACCUUGUGCUCGUUGCUCUUGCAAUUCCCUACCACCGAAAUAUCCCUAUGGAUAAAUACUUACACCUGUCGUGCUUACUUUUAUUCCCAGUCGAUCUUGUUAUUACAAGUUACCCCGAGAAUAUUUUGUGCCUACUGCCUUGCAGUUCUUUGCCACCUGAAUACCCCUAAGAAUAAUUUCUCGCACCUUCCGAGUAUCCGCUCAUCCCAGUUGUUCAGGUGUUUCACAAAAGCCUUUGAAAUACUAUUCAAUCUUCAAAAAAAUCCUUAGCAGCUUUAUUGCUCAGCAAAUACUUGUCUACUAGCAUUAUGGAUGCUUCCCAUAUAUCUGGCAAUAUUCACUAGUAUCUUUUGACACCGUCAUUUUGAUCCUAUUGAUUCAACAUGUGUGCGAAUGCAGACAAUCAUCUAUCAACCCUUCUAAAUUAUCUUUCCGGCUCAGACAUCAUUUUUGAACAUGAGCUGGUUCUCGACCAAACUAUUUGUCGCCAAUUGUGCCUCUGGUCUAUCCAAAUUAUCCAUCCUUGAUCAGAGCGACUGCCUUUGAUCCUUUGUUUUGGAAAUCGUAAGUCCUUCGUUAUCUAAGCAUCGAAUUAUUCAGAUAUUCUAUAAUAUGAUGCACGUGCCUUCUUCUUCCUCUGGUCGAGUACUGAUGCUCACAUCAGAUCCCUUGUGGACCAUCGGUUCCUUUGUUGGAUUUUAUCCGACAGUGUCCUUCAUAUUGAAUAACCUUGAGAGCCUUUCCAUGGGUAUAUAAUGCUUUUGGUAAGUUGUAUCAUCUGCUUUUGAACAAUGCUCUACUUUUGAGCUCGUAUUAUUUACCCUGAAGUUUGUGGUAUAUGUUCCUAAGAUGCCCUGCUAUGCCUUCCUUAAUAUGUGUGAACUCGGAAGUUUUCACGGGUCAUACUCAUCUGGUAUUUCACCAAGUAAAACUUUCAACACUAAUGCCAUUAUCGAAACGAGAAGUGACUGUAAGGUUAUGCUUUGGAGAAGUGGGAGUCGACCUUAAACCUUUGUGUUCAUGCCCAUGUACACGAAGUAGAUCCUAUCAUGGAAUCUUCUUGUAAUAAUAACUAUUUCCUUGAUAUAAUAUCCUUGGUAUCGGUGAAUUGAUCCUUUGCAAUCGUGGUUCCGACCAUAUGUUCUUCUUUGAUCCCAUUUCUCGGGCAAGUUUAAGCACUUGUCUUGUGUGGAUCAAUACACCUGUCCAACCUUUACUUUGAUCUUUCGUCGAGUAUUACACCCUGGUAUCUCGAGAUCAUCACGGGACUGCAUAACUUCUUAUGAGUUCUCCAUCAAGUACUACAUCCUCACUGAUUCCAAUUUUUCACGGGUUUUGAGUUAUUAAACACUCAAAGACACCGGUAACUGAACCGAGUCCACACUACGGUUCAACAACUUUUAGUAAUCUUCUUUACUUACGAGUUUGUACCCGAUCACGCCAUUCCUAGCCUGAUUGGCUAUAUCAUUGUGCUAAUUUUUAACUGUGCUACCGGGUCCUUCUCGGAGCACAAAUUUCGACGGUGAGCUAAUCUUACAAUCGAUCUUCCUCAUCAUAUCGUUUGUCCUUGAGCAGCAAGCUUGAUUUCGAGUUUGUGUCAUACCCAUGGUCCCAAUGACUUUUGGCUUCAUCAUUUCCGUUGACUUGAUGUCAUCACCGAUCAGUUACAUCUUCUCGAAACCUCUCGACAAAUGUGUCAUGAUCAUCAUCAACAUUCUGAGGUCUUCCAAGAUAUCUAUCGAAUUCUUGAUGAGAAAUAGCAUCCUUUGCCCUCGAUGGUUUGGGUUAUCAUCCACAACAUUAUUGCAUUCUCUCCAACACAAAAAUUGUUCCUGUUUUGUGUUGUACCUUGAGUUCCUUGUAUCCAACUUAUGUUAUGAUUCUACUGCGGAGUAUUACCAUUUUUUAUGUCAAGAAUGUUGUGAGGAUUGCUCCACCUCUUAAGAAUUCUUGCUAUAGUGAUACUCCUCAUAAUCACCAUUCUUUCUUGGUCCUCGCGUUGAUCCCAUACGGGGUACCAACAAGUGAACGGUGUUGUUUGGAUUCUGCCUAUCUAGCAACCCUAUUGCUUUGAAGUUAAUGGUCGGCCGUUCAUUCUUAGACUAUUGAUUAUUGAAUCACCAUUCCAGGUUAGCCGUGCAACCCAGCCCAUAUUUCGGGCGCACCUUUCAACCAUUGUUAAAUUGUGUAUGUUUUCCUCAAGCAUACGUCAAUAUAUCAUUUUGAUCUGACAAAUGUUAUCUCCUUAUUCACGUAAUGGUGGAAAUCCAUCCUUUGGAAAUUUUGGUGAAUUGUCGUUGAGUUCAUCAGCCACCUCCUUGUCCUCUCCUUGGGUUAAUGAUGAACUCUUGUUAACGGAAAUCACUUCAUAGUUCAUUUCCCGAGAAUCUUACAGUGUCAUCCGUCAAUUUGUGUUGCACCUUUCUUCUCAGGCAUCCUGAGUCUGAGGUAUCCUGACACCAAUCAGAUCUGAAUCUCGGUCAGAUAUGAUGGUUGAACUAUAUUUUCAAGAAUUAUAACAUUGGUCCCUAUAUGCCCCGGUAAGGUGAUGUCAUGCCUAGCACACCUGACCAGAGGACCUAGUGUUAUAGUUUCCUUUUUAACCUUGUUUAAUAAGUUUAUCCUGAUGGAUCCUUUGUGUAUCCAAAGUCUGACCUUUGCUUAAAGGCCAUGUCAAUGCUAUCUCGAAGCAUGUCUGUGGUGCUCCGAUUUUCAACAAGAACAUUUGAAGCCCAAUGCUAAAUGUUACUUGCUCACUUAUCCAAACACAGUUGUAUGGGUAAUGUCAUGAAAUUUCUCUCCCCUUACCUAAAGAGAUUUCUACUUUAAAUCCUGUCAUGGAUAUCAUGCCCUGCUUGUCCGUGGGAAAGAUAUACCCCGAGAAUAUGUGUGUGUACACAUUUUCCCUUCCAUUGUUCUGUUUAAACCUGAUAACCACUUUUCCUUUCCAUUGAUUUGUUUAAACCUUCUUGUGAUCUAUAUAAUCUAAGGAGUAAUAUUCUCCUGCUUAUGUAAACACCUCGGUGUACAAUUCUGACAACAAGACCCUGUUACUAUUGUUGUUGACAUUCCGGUAGCCACCGAUGGGUGAUAACUUUGCCAAUUGGUUCGCCCCAUUCAACAAGCAGGAAAAUUGCUCUUCGUUCCCCGUCCUUGGUACCAACAUUUUUGCCGGCAUACCUGACAAGCUAUUCACUGACAUGCUUCCCUGUCGCGGCUGUGCAAGAUGUCACCACCCUUCCUACUUUCAACCCACACGGUGGGCCCAUAACCCACAGAUCCACUGGGUUGAAACCUGACUCUCCUGUACACCCCCUAUUCCCAAGGUUGUUCCUCGCGCGUGGCCUCAUAUGUAAUUCAUGAGCCACCUUCAGGUCUGAUAUCGGACACAAUACUUAUUCCCGUUGUUUUGACCCUUUCACGCCCUAUAACAGGCAUCGAACGAUUGCCUGCCCGCUCGAAACUUCCCAGGAUACCUCCUUACUUUGCUCUCGAUAUUUUCUUAAGUUUCGAUUCGAGAGUUACUUUCCGCCACCUUCCUUGAUGUUGUCGACCCGAUAGUCAACCUUGCCGAGGUCCGUUCUCCCAGAAUGCCCACCCUUUAUACUUUCAUAAGUACGAUGGAGUUCCUAAAGAAAGGACGCUGACUUCAUCAUGAUGACCUGAAGCAGAGAACUGAAGACAUCAAUGUAAUGGGUCGACCUCUUCGAGAAGAGCAACCAAAGACGAGAAGAUUCGUUAGGAUUUUGUAACCAGACCUUUCCCCCUAGUCCCCCUCUUAAAUCUCGGGACGAGAUUUCUUGUAGUGGAGGAGAAUUGUGACGCCCGGAUAAUUAACCUACAGUGAUCCCACGCUAAUGGUGCCACGUCACCACGGUUACUGCUGCUAAUCUAUCGUUAGAUCAAAAUCGGUCCUAAAUUCAAAUUCAAAGUUUAGUAAAUAAUAAAAGUUUUCAAACAUUAAAAUAAAAAUGUUCGCUCUGUAUUAAAUAUUACAUAGAUAAAUAUGGUGUAGUAAACACAUUUUUAUAAAAUGCCUAAAUGAUUCAAAAUGAUUUAGAACAGAAAAGUAAAUAAAUAAAAGAAAAUACAAAAGAGAAAAACUAAACUAACAAAAAAA